rnacentral:rRNA from 1 species
GACGAAGGGGGGCUAGCGUUGCUCGGGAAUCACUGGGCGUAAAGCGCACGUAGGCGGCUUUUUAAGUCAGAGGUGAAAUCCUGGAGCUCAACUCCAGAACUGCCUUUGAUACUGGAGAGCUUGAGUCCGGGAGAGGUGAGUGGAACUGCGAGUGUAGAGGUGAAAUUCGUAGAUAUUCGCAAGAACACCAGUGGCGAAGGCGGCUCACUGGCCCGGUACUGACGCUGAGGUGCG